CUCCCCCCUCCCUUCUUGCUCCCUCUCUGAGGAAACGGCAAGAUGGCGGCCGGCGAUGGCGGGGUCGUCGCUGGGCCUCCCCUCUCCCCUCUCCCAGGGAAUUUUAAGGGGGGAAAGGCCGCCCUCCUCGCCGGCGGACCCUGGCCGCCUCCUCUCUCAGGGCCGUCCUGCACGACGGCCUUGCCAGGUCCACAACUAGAGGAUGGGAUGGUCCGCUUCAACGGCAGGCUUUGCGAGUGCAGCUUCAACAACCCCAGUGCUGACGACAUGCACCUCAUGGAACGCAUCGGCUGCACUUUAAGAAGAAGGUCAGCCCAGGACCGCUAGUCGGGAUCAAGGCCGCAACCAAGCCUGGACUUGGCGGUCGGAGAAGCUGAAGUGGUAUCUAGAGAAAGAGCAGCCGUGGCUCCUGGAGUUCUCAGCACUGGGAUACAUUUAUAGUUGAAUUGCCUCGUUCAGUAGUCAUGCUCUUCCUGGAUUCCAUGAGCCUCUGUGGAAUCCAAAGUUGAAUUUUGAAGAAGCGGGUAAAACAGAGCAUUGGCACUUCUGAAGUUUGGUGUUUGAGAAGACCAUUGACACCCAAGAAAACAAUAGGACAAAUCAACCCAGAAUUCUUAUUCUAGUCCACAAUUACUUUAAUUAUUUUUCCAAUAUUGAGGAACACUAGCCUAGGUGAUGCUCCCCAAACACCAACCACAUUCUGAAUCUGGUCUGUCAGGAAGGACCAAGACUGCCACAGAACAGUGUCUCCAAGGCUCAAUCCUGCUGGAUGGUCGAAGUAAUAUCUCCAUUGAUGGCACUGAAGCCCAUUAAAAGUCCAGGAAUAUUAGCAGUGUGGUGAAACACACCUCUGUCUCACAAGGCAUUGACAAUUUCCCCAUGGAAUAAGCCACAAGUAAUGUCCAGAGAGCCAGUUUGGUGUUGUGGUGACGGUGUUAGGCUUUAACCUGGGAUACG